rnacentral:lncRNA from 1 species
UACUGACUGAAGUUUGGGGAGACGAUUUAGGGUGGGGACCUUGCGCAUAUGUAAACAAGAAAACCAGAGGGCAGUCUUCAAGUCUUCUAAAACUUAAUAAAAGCAACUCUUGCUAAAAACAUGCUUACUUUAAUAUUAGUUGCUGUCAGAAAAAUAACUUAGGAAGCUUUCUUAGUCAUUUACAGAUGCUUCUAAGUGAUUCUCACAUGGCCACAUAGUUUAACCUAGCUGAGCUCUGCAGUUUCAGUGUUGACUGCUGUUCAAAUCAACAGCAGCUGAAAGUGUCCGUGUUACAGAGAUGUGUCAUCUUUCGGCAGAAAUUAAGUUAACCACUAUGUCACUUCAGCCUGACCUAAUGCUUUGCUUAGGUUACACCCAAAACUUUAGAAGCUUGCACAAAUUUUAAGUGAUUCAUUCCCUGAAUGCUAGCUUUGUGAUGGUGUCAUGAAACGCACAAUGUGUCUAUCAAACUCUGCUGUGCAUGGUGUUGAUUGACUAAAGGCCUGCACCCUGCAGUAGGUCUACGUUAGUGUGCAAACGUUGAGUCUUAAGUAAGCCCCUCCUGACAUCACAGGUAGUCUUUCCAAUCUCGCCUACACUCAUGGCAAAGUCGUCUGACGUCCGGGCUAACUUAGCACAGAGUGUAGCUCAGACCCGUGCGCUGCUGGGCAAGAGUUAUUUUGUUGCAUCACUUGUUCAACACCCCCAGCUCGAGAUGCUGGGGGUGUUCUACUGCGUGUACGCUUUGACCGCCAACAGGCGGGGGCACGAUGCAGAAGCGCUUAUAAAGCUUCGAAUCAAGCAUUGCACCAGCUGCAUGGAAGAGUCCCAGCAGCUGUUGAAAACGAAAGACUUGCUGCCAACGAUCCGCAGCCCCCUAAACGAAUGAACUGCAAUGCUGAGACGAUGCCCUUCGCAAGGGUACGGCAUCGGGACACGUAUCUUCAGCCUCUCCAGAGACAUUGCACAUCUUCGUCGCACAUUUUUGUAGCAGAUAUGCACACGCAGCGUGUCUUGAUUUCAGUCGAACGCACAGGCCUCUUCUUUGUUCACGCUGCCAGAAGACUGAGAAAUCAAAGCGAGGGGCACCACCACUGUCCCCGCCCGCACGCGUCGCUAGUCCGUAAGAGAGCACUCGCAUCUUCUACAUUUGGUACGGUUCUUGCACUCCGCCUAGCAGGGCCGGUGGCCCGCUUGCAGUUCGCAGAGGAGGUGUCUGUUGUCUGGCAGCUUUGUGGUCUUUCAGUCAGUCAGUUGGUCGUCACCGUCGUCUACGAAGCAUUUCCCGUUCCCAGUCUUCCCCGGGGUUUCUUAGGAGCGCGCCAAUGUGAUGUGGCUUUUUCUUUCCGAGCAUCGUCUCGUCUUUUAUUCGUAGGUUGUCGAUUAUUUAUUGCAUUCCUGUACACACAGUUGAGAACCUGGUGACUGCAGCUUCACGCGCCAUGUGCGAUGCUGAGGGCACCUCACUCUCUCUCAUACCUUUGAGACUCGGAUCGUUUCACAUUAGAUUAUACAUACUAUAUAUAUAUAUAUAAAUAUAUACAUACAAAAUGUGUAUAUACAUAUGAUGAAGUGUGAGUUUGCGGCUUCCAGUUUGACAAAAAGCCGUGGCGACGUGCCACCGCGACUUUUAUCGUUGUACUAUUGAGAUUAGCGUUCGACAAAAAACGUAGAGUGAGCUGCAGUGGCAAAAGGGUUUUAUAUCCAUGUGUCUGUGUGUUUUGUGGCUUGUUCCUUAUAUAUAUAUACAAAUAUAUAACAAAUGUUGUAAGAGAGCUUAAUUCAUCUGGAAGCACAAAAAAAAAGUAUAUGUCAUGCGUGACUGUGUGAAUUGCGUGGUGUGGGCUUAGGUGCGACUGAUCUGACGCACACCUCUGUGUUUCCUAAUUGAAGGCCAAGCACAAAAUGUGUGCAAGACGAAUGAACUGCUGUUGUUUUAGAGCAUUUUUUUUUGUCUGUCUGGUUUUUUUUUUAAAUAAAGCCUUACAAAGGAAUUCA